UCCCUGGCAGUCCAGUGGUUAGGACUCAGCGCUUUCACCGCUGGGGGCCUGGGUUCAAUCCCUGGUUGGGGAG
rnacentral:tRNA from 1 species